UUCCCAUUAGCUCAAUGGUAGAGCAGAAUACUUCUAAUAUUACGGUUUUUAGUUCGAGUCUAAAAUGGGAAU
rfam:Podospora anserina complete mitochondrial genome